GUGGGGAAUAUUGGGCAAUGGGGGAAACCCUGACCCAGCAACGCCGCGUGAGGGAAGAAGGUUUUCGGAUUGUAAACCUCUGUCCUUGGUGACGAAAAAAAUGACGGUAGCCAAGGAGGAAGCCCCGGCUAACUACGUGCCAGCAGCCGCGGUAAUACGUAGGGGGCAAGCGUUGUCCGGAAUGACUGGGCGUAAAGGGCGUGUAGGCGGCCGAUUAAGUCUGGAGUGAAAGUCCUGCUUUCAAGGUGGGAAUUGCUUUGGAGACUGGUUGGCUUGAGUGCGGAAGAGGUAAGUGGAAUUCCCAGUGUAGCGGUGAAAUGCGUAGAGAUUGGGAGGAACACCAGUGGCGAAGGCGACUUACUGGGCCGUAACUGACGCUGAGGCGCGAAAGCGUGGGGAGCGAACAGGAUUAGAAACCCCAGUAGUCC
rnacentral:rRNA from 1 species